rnacentral:rRNA from 1 species
CAGAUCUUGACAUCCCCCUGACAGCAUAUGUAAAGUAUGUUUCCUUCGGGACAGGGGAGACAGGUGGUGCAUGGUUGUCGUCAGCUCGUGUCGUGAGAUGUUGGGUUAAGUCCCGCAACGAGCGCAACCCUUAUCCUUAGUAGCCAGCAGGUAAAGCCGGGCACUCUAGGGAGACUGCCGGGGAUAACCCGGAGGAAGGUGGGGAUGACGUCAAAUCAUCAUGCCCCUUAUGAUCUGGGCUACACACGUGCUACAAUGGCGUAAACAAAGGGAAGCAGCCCUGUGAAGGUGAGCAAAUCCCAAAAAUAACGUCCCAGUUCGGAUUGUAGUCUGCAACCCGACUACAUGAAGCUGGAAUCGCUAGUAAUCGCGAAUCAGAAUGUCGCGGUGAAUACGUUCCC